rnacentral:sRNA from 18 species
GUAAGCAACCCACGGCUUUAAGCCGUGGGCUUCGACCAGACUCGUUCUAGUCGAAGCCUAGCUUACCAGACUAUCAGCCUUAAAUAAGCUGGGUUUACAUUAAGCGUUAAAGUUCUCACCUUGGAAUACGAAGCUAGUUCCAAGCUCUGAA